GACAGAGGGUGCAAACGUUGUUCGGAAUUACUGGGCGUAAAGCGCGUGUAGGCUGCUCUGCAAGUCGGAUGUGAAAGCCCUGGGCUCAACCUAGGAAGUGCACUCGAAACUGCAGAGCUGGAGUCCUGGAGAGGAAGGCGGAAUUCUCGGUGUAGAGGUGAAAUUCGUAGAUAUCGAGAGGAACACCGGUGGCGAAGGCGGCCUUCUGGACAGUGACUGACGCUGAGACGCGAAAGCGUGGGGAGCAAACAGG
rnacentral:rRNA from 1 species